rnacentral:rRNA from 1 species
UACGUAGGGUGCAAGCGUUAAUCGGAAUUACUGGGCGUAAAGCGUGCGCAGGCGGUUUUGUAAGUUUGUCGUGAAAGCCCCGGGCUCAACCUGGGAACAGCGCUUGAGACUGGCACGCUCGAGUUCGGGAGAGGAUGGUGGAAUUCCCAGUGUAGAGGUGAAAUUCGUAGAUAUUGGGAAGAACACCGAUGGCGAAGGCAGCCAUCUGGACCGCAACUGACGCUGAGGCGCGAAAGCGUGGGGAGCAAACAGGG